rnacentral:rRNA from 1 species
GAGUAGGGCCGGCAGCUACACAUGCAAGUCGAGCGGUAGAGAGAAGCUUGCUUCUCUUGAGAGCGGCGGACGGGUGAGUAAUGCCUAGGAAUCUGCCUGGUAGUGGGGGAUAACGUUCGGAAACGGACGCUAAUACCGCAUACGUCCUACGGGAGAAAGCAGGGGACCUUCGGGCCUUGCGCUAUCAGAUGAGCCUAGGUCGGAUUAGCUAGUUGGUGGGGUAAUGGCUCACCAAGGCGACGAUCCGUAACUGGUCUGAGAGGAUGAUCAGUCACACUGGAACUGAGACACGGUCCAGACUCCUACGGGAGGCAGCAGUGGGGAAUAUUGGACAAUGGGCGAAAGCCUGAUCCAGCCAUGCCGCGUGUGUGAAGAAGGUCUUCGGAUUGUAAAGCACUUUAAGUUGGGAGGAAGGGUUGUAGAUUAAUACUCUGCAAUUUUGACGUUACCGACAGAAUAAGCACCGGCUAACUCUGUGCCAGCAGCCGCGGUAAUACAGAGGGUGCAAGCGUUAAUCGGAAUUACUGGGCGUAAAGCGCGCGUAGGUGGUUAGUUAAGUUGGAUGUGAAAUCCCCGGGCUCAACCUGGGAACUGCAUUCAAAACUGACUGACUAGAGUAUGGUAGAGGGUGGUGGAAUUUCCUGUGUAGCGGUGAAAUGCGUAGAUAUAGGAAAGGAACACCAGUGGCGAAGGCGACCACCUGGACUGAUACUGACACUGAGGUGCGAAAGCGUGGGGAGCAAACAGGAUUAGAUACCCUGGUAGUCCACGCCGUAACGAUGUCCACUAGCCGUUGGAGCCUUGAGCUCUUAGUGGCGCAGCUAACGCAUUAAGUUGACCGCCUGGGAGUACAGCCGCAAGUUAAAACUCAAAUGAAUUGACGGGGCCCGCACAACCGAGGAAGCUAUGUGG